rnacentral:rRNA from 1 species
CUACGGGUGGCACCAGUGAGGAAUAUUGCACAAUGGGGGGAACCCUGAUACAGCAACGCCGCGUGGAGGAUGACGCAUUUCGGUGUGUAAACUCCUUUUAUAUGUCAAGAAAAUGACGGUAGCAUAUGAAUAAGCACCGGCUAACUCCGUGCCAGCAGCCGCGGUAAUACGGAGGGUGCAAGCGUUACUCGGAAUCACUGGGCGUAAAGGACGCGUAGGCGGGUUGGAAAGUCAGGUGUGAAAUCCUACAGCUUAACUGUAGAACUGCACUUGAAACUUCUAAUCUAGAGUAUGGGAGGUGGAGAUGGAAUUAGUGGUGUAGGGGUAAAAUCCGUAGAUAUCACUAGGAAUACCUAAAGCGAAGGCGAUCUCCUGGAACAUUACUGACGCUAAGGCGUGAAAGCGUGGGGAGCAAACAGGAUUAGAUACCCCCGUAGUC